rnacentral:rRNA from 1 species
GAUGAACGCUCGCGGCGUGCCUAAUACAUGCAAGUCGAGCGAACAGACGAGGAGCUUGCUCCUCUGACGUUAGCGGCGGACGGGUGAGUAACACGUGGAUAACCUACCUAUAAGACUGGGAUAACUUCGGGAAACCGGAGCUAAUACCGGAUAAUAUAUUGAACCGCAUGGUUCAAUAGUGAAAGACGGUUUUGCUGUCACUUAUAGAUGGAUCCGCGCCGCAUUAGCUAGUUGGUAAGGUAACGGCUUACCAAGGCAACGAUGCGUAGCCGACCUGAGAGGGUGAUCGGCCACACUGGAACUGAGACACGGUCCAGACUCCUACGGGAGGCAGCAGUAGGGAAUCUUCCGCAAUGGGCGAAAGCCUGACGGAGCAACGCCGCGUGAGUGAUGAAGGUCUUCGGAUCGUAAAACUCUGUUAUUAGGGAAGAACAAAUGUGUAAGUAACUAUGCACGUCUUAACGGUACCUAAUCAGAAAGCCACGGCUAACUACGUG